AAUUAUAUGAAUUUAACAUGUUAAAGACCCCGUUGGUGAGCCAGGGGCAUUUUGGUAAUUAUGACCCGAGAAGAGUAAAAUGAUGAAAUUAAUUUAAUUAUGUGCUUAAUAGAACUAUAUGAGUAUAUAGUAUGCCUGUGUUGUCUUUUCAGGUGUGUUCUGACAGGUUGGCGCGGUAUAGUCACAACCGGGUAUUUUGGGCCGAACCGGGUUCGGGCCCGAAAUGCAAAUUAGAUUGAAUUAAUUGGCAUUUUAUUUGAUAAUGAGAAAUCUGAAAUUUAAUUGGGUUUGAAUUGGUGUGUAAAUGUCAUUUUGCCCUUGCAUGCCUAAGUGAAUGUUAUUUGGCCCUAGGGGGCAAAAUGGUCUUUUUAGACCCUUAAUUUAUGUUUAAUAAAAGAAUGAUUUUAAGGAAAAGAGAAUUAUUUUUCUAGUUUUCCUUCAGCCCUAAAACCGUACCCCUCCUCUCCUCUUCACUUAUUUCUUAAAUGUUUAGAUUUUUGUAGAUUGUUCUUGAAUUGAAGGUUUUGUAAAGUUGAAUUUCUUGUGGAUAGAAGCUUGAAGUUGUGGAUUACCGGCACCUGGUCAGGAGCACCCGGGGAUUUGGAAUCUCUACUAUUGCGGGACAACAGGAAAGGGUAAGGCAUUAGCUGAUCUGCCAUGAGUUUCAGGAGCAGACGAAGAAUGUACAUGUUCACGCCACUUCAGACCAAGCGGGUUAUGGGUCUAACAGUGUUGACUUUUGUAUUCUGUUUUGCCGCUUAGGUCGGCUAGUAAGAAAGAACUUGUAAUAAGUUGUAAAUAUUUUUGGGAUCCCAACUAUUUUGAAAAGUUUAAAUAUAUUACAAGUUUUAUUUUCA